rnacentral:tRNA from 1 species
GCGGGAGUGGCCGGGUUCGCAGGUACCGAAGCUGAGAUCAUCGCGGCGAUGGGCGACGCGUGCGAGGUGCAGCUGCUGCGC